GACAGAGGGUGCAAACGUUGCUCGGAAUUACUGGGCGUAAAGCGCGUGUAGGCGGACCUGCAAGUCGGACGUGAAAGCCCUGGGCUCAACCCAGGAACUGCAUCCGAAACUGCGGGCCUGGAGUGGUGGAGAGGGAAGCAGAAUUCCUGGUGUAGAGGUGAAAUUCGUAGAUAUCAGGAGGAACACCAGUGGCGAAGGCGGCUUCCUGGACACUUACUGACGCUGAGACGCGAAAGCGUGGGGAGCAAACAGG
rnacentral:rRNA from 1 species